GAGAGCAGAGGCAAGGGGCAGAAUCCCCUCCCUUGCCCUGCUGCCCACACUGCUCUUGCUGGAGCCCAGCACAGGGUUGCUGUCUGGGCUGCACUCACACUGCAGGCUCCUCUUGAGCUUUGCAUCAGCCCAGACCCCCAGGGCCUGUUCCUCAGGGCUGCUCUCAGCCGUUCCCCAUCCAGCCUGGAGUUGUGCUUGGGAUUGUGCCCACCCAGGUGCAGGACCUUGCACUCGGCCUUGAUGAAUGCCAUGAGGUUGGCCUGGGCGCACCUCUGCAGCCUGCCCAGUUUGUAACUGGGGCUGUAAAGAAUGGUUAUGCAUUGCCUGUGCUUCUGAUUUCAGGAGAGUCCCAUUUCAUUCUUGAUGCUUUCUUUAAGAGAGGCAUACAACUGAGCUCCCUCAGAGAAGCAGCAUGAAGUGCAUGAAGGAUGCUGGCUGCACUCAGUACAGACAAGGCACAUUGGAGUAGGUUAACAAGAUGCUUGACAUUUGCCCUUAAUGGUCAUUGUCUUCAAAUGCAUCAUUCGGGAGUGAAGUUGCUUGGCAUUUGCAGUUGACUACUUCUUCUCUGGCCUUUGGAGUGAAGGAAGGGAAAAACCAGAGUUGAAGAUGUCAGCUCUGUAAGUUUUCUCUGGGUGAUCAAAGCAUGCACAACAUCCUGUGCUUGUGCUCUGGAAGAUUCUAGGAGCUUCACGGGGACUCAGGGAGCACAAGUUCUGGAUUUCUGUGGGCUGUCUCUAGAUGAACACCUGAGUGCAGUGAAUCUAAAAGCAGCUGUCUCUCAUUUGAAGUUAAAGUGAUGUGACUGAUCUGGUGCUUUAUAGGUGCCAAAAAGGAGACCUUCUUCACCUGCUUCUCCUGUGCAAGCUCUUCUGUCUGUCUGCUGAGAUGUUUCUGCCUGUUUCUCUGGCAGAGAAGUGUUUGCUUUUUUGGCUGGCGAGCUGACCAUCCGUACUACCGUCGCCUUGAAUGCCUCCAACCAGCAGUGUUUGCUGCCAGACAGACACCUGGAGAAGACAGAGGACAUGGUUAAGUUCAUGAAGGAUAUCUUGGAUGGUGCUGCUGAAGCACAGGCUGGUGAUGGACUUCUGCAACGAAGCAAGAGAGUCAUCUAUGAGGCCAAGGCUGCUGUAAUGGAGGUUGGAUCCUCGAAGGUUUUGCUCUGGGUUCUGCGAUGGAGGCAAAGAUGGAGCAGGAGCACUAACUGGAGCUGGUAACGGACCAGCAGCAGCAGCUGAUAAACAAAGAGCAAGUGCGACUGAAAGAGCUUUGCAGAAAGCAGGAGUCAGCCACCUGCCACCCAUCCCCUCCUGACCCCAACCCCAGAAACCCAAAGCAGCACUUGGCACAGGAGGUCUCUCGUGUUGCAGUCUCAACUUCAAGCCCUGGAAUACUUUGCUUCAGCCAGCAGCAUGGGGUUGGAUACCAACAGCAGAGUCGACUUAACCUGUGACUAAGUGAACUUUAAGUGUUCUGACUCCACAGUGGAACCUGAUAAAGAAAGAUGUGAAUGGAA